rnacentral:rRNA from 1 species
UACGUAGGGUGCGAGCGUUAAUCGGAAUUACUGGGCGUAAAGAGUGCGUAGGCGGUUUCUCAAGUCCGCUGUGAAAUCCCCGGGCUCAACCUGGGAAUGGCAGUGGAAACUAGGAGACUUGAAUCUGGCAGAGGGGGGUGGAAUUCCGCGUGUAGCAGUGAAAUGCGUAGAUAUGCGGAGGAACACCGAUGGCGAAGGCAAUCCCCUGGGCCUGUACUGACGCUCAUGCACGAAAGCGUGGGGAGCAAACAGG